rnacentral:rRNA from 1 species
AAGUCGAACGAUGAUUAUCUAGCUUGCUAGAGAUGAUUAGUGGCGGACGGGUGAGUAACAUUUAGGAAUCUGCCUAGUAGUGGGGGAUAGCUCGGGGAAACUCGAAUUAAUACCGCAUACGACCUACGGGUGAAAGGGGGCGCAAGCUCUUGCUAUUAGAUGAGCCUAAAUCAGAUUAGCUAGUUGGUGGGGUAAAGGCCCACCAAGGCGACGAUCUGUAACUGGUCUGAGAGGAUGAUCAGUCACACCGGAACUGAGACACGGUCCGG